rnacentral:sRNA from 1 species
AGCAUGCAACUUGGCCUUGGCUUCACAAAAGGCGCUUUUUUCGAAGGCGCCCGGGAGCUCUUGCUUUUGCUUGAGGGUCUUUGGUGUUGACUGAGAGCGAAUUAAAAGGUUCUCAGCUUUCGCUAAGGAACGCAUUCUGGAGUCUAGAACAGGCGAAGAUGGGACUGGGGUGUCUGGGGACUUAGACGUGAGCGAGCAAGGGAAUCCGGGAUGUUGUAAAAGUUGUUGAGUUCUGGAUUUGAUUCUCAGCUUGGUCACUGUUGGUGCAUAGAAGAGCUACUAAUUUGUGUACGUCGGAAACUUUGCCGAAUUGGACUACGUUUCUAGAAAUGGAUUCCUGAAUUAAAAGAGAUGCUUCUCUUAAAUAUUUAUGUAAAGUUACUCUCAGAAAGGUUGUAAGUGGAUUCCUCCCACCAAAAGUAUUGUGAAUGAAUAUCUUCUUAAAAUUUACAAUUGUUUUGACCAUUUCCCAGUCCUUAAACCAAUGAUAACAUUUUAUUUUCUUUUUCUUUUUUCUUUUCUUUCUUUUUUUUUUUUUUUUUUGAGACAGAGUUUUGCUCUAGUUGCCCAGGCUGGAGCAAUGGCGCGAUCUUGGCUCACCGCAACCUCCACCUCCCAGGUUCAAGCGAUUCUCCUGCCUCAGCCUUCCCAAGUAGCUGGGACUACAGACAUGCGCCACCAAGCCCAGCUAAUUUUGUAUUUUUAGUAGAGAUGGGGUUUCUCCAUGUGGGUCAGGCUGGUCUUGAACUCCCAACCUCAGGUGAUCCGCCCACCUCAGCCUCCCAAAGUGCUGGGAUUACAGGCGUAAGCCACCGCGCCCGGCCUUUAUUUUCAUAAUAUUUCCAUGUCUUUUAUUUCUCAUAAGCUUACAUAUGCAUUCAAGUAUUUAUUGGUCAUUUUCAAUUUUUCCUUCUAAGAGUCUAUAUUCUUUACCUAUUUCUACACAUUUUUGUAUUCAUCUAUAUGUUGAUUUGUUUUAAAUUUAUUAUCUGUUUGUUGUAUCUGAAAUAUUUUCCCUUAGUUUAUUUGCUACUUAAAUUUGAGGGAGGCAGGGAAGUUUACUGGAACAUACUUUAUAUUUUCUAUAAUUUAUUAACUAUUUACUUCAUAAUUUGUGUUUUGGCUGUCAAACCUACCGACCAAAAUUAUAAUAACAUCAAUUUGUAAUUUGAUAAGCACUCUGGUAGUCUAUUUUUAAGUUAUACAUGUCGUGAACAUUAUUUGUUUUAAUGUGUGAGGGAUGGAAGUUACUUUAUUUUUCCAGGUGGUUAACUAGUUAACACAGAUUAUUGCUUUUCUGUAAUACUUUUACUGAGAUAUAAUUCAUAUACUCUAAAACUCACCCAUUUAAAGUGUACAAUUCAGUAGAUUCUUUUUUAUUUCUUUGAGACAGAGUUUUGCUCUUGUUGCCCAGGUUGGAGUUCAAUGGCGUGAUCUCAGCUCACUGCAACCUCCGCCUCCUGGGUUCAAGCGACUCUCCUGCCUCAGCCUCCCGAGUAGCUGGGAUUACAGGCACCUGCCAUCACGCCUGGCUAAUUUUUGUAUUUUUUAGUAAAGACAGGGGUUUCACCAUGUUGGCCAUGCUGGUCUUGAACUCCUAACCUCAGGUGAUCUGCCCGCCUCAGUCUCCCAAAGUGCUGGGAUUACAGGUGUGAGCCACCGUGCCUGGCCGAAUUCAGUAGUUUCUAGUUUAUUCAAAGAGCUAUGCAACCAUCAUCACAAUCAAUUUUAGAACAUUUUCAUUGCCCAAAAAGACACCAAUACCCACUAGCAAUCAUCAUUUUCAGCCACUCCAUGGGCUACAGGGAUCUUUUCUGUUAUUGCACUUGUUCUAUAUUCAUAUUUCAUGUAAUAAACAUGCAUUGCUUUUGUAAUUACAAAGUAAAAAGAAAAACGUUUU